UCUCUCUCACCUCACCAUCUCGCGUGCUCUCUCUACUUCUCUACUACGUUCUUUUAAUUUUGCUCCUCCUCAUCAUUCUUGUCCGAUCUUCACCUCAUCUUCAUACAAAUCUCAGUGAGAAAAAGGAGGUAAGGAGCCUUGCAACUUUGGGUGUUAUUUAUGUAGUUAAACGCACAUGGCGCUAGAAGAUUGAGAUUGCAAAAAGUAAGAGAUCCAUGUUCUACUGGGAUACAUAGCCUAUGAUCUACUUCUUCCAAAAGAUGGACAAUGAAGCCAAUCAUCAACCAAAGCUAGAAGGUUUAAGGACAAGGUGGACGCCAUCCAUCGACAAGAUAUUUGCAAACUUGGUUGUUAAGUAUAUACAACUUUUGAAAGAGCAAAUUAGUUUUAGUUGUUGAGAAAAUGUAGCUACAUUGUAUGGAUUCUAAUGUGAUAUUAUAGAGUUUUUAGCCAAAACAAAGUUAUUAGCAAAACUUGAUUCUAUGGCGAAACUUAAUUCAUUCAUGCUUGGACUUCAUUUGUAUGUUAAAAGUUAAAACUAUGACAUUUUUUGUUGAAACUAUUAACUUCAAAUUUAA